rnacentral:rRNA from 1 species
AGUGAACGCUGGCGGUAGGCCUAACACAUGCAAGUCGAACGGCAGCACAGUAAGAGCUUGCUCUUACGGGUGGCGAGUGGCGGACGGGUGAGGAAUACAUCGGAAUCUACUUUUUCGUGGGGGAUAACGUAGGGAAACUUACGCUAAUACCGCAUACGACCUACGGGUGAAAGCAGGGGAUCUUCGGACCUUGCGCGAUUGAAUGAGCCGAUGUCGGAUUAGCUAGUUGGCGGGGUAAAGGCCCACCAAGGCGACGAUCCGUAGCUGGUCUGAGAGGAUGAUCAGCCACACUGGAACUGAGACACGGUCCAGACUCCUACGGGAGGCAGCAGUGGGGAAUAUUGGACAAUGGGCGCAAGCCUGAUCCAGCCAUACCGCGUGGGUGAAGAAGGCCUUCGGGGUGUAAAGCCCUUUUGUUGGGAAAGAAAAGCAGCAGGUUAAUACCCCGCUGUUCUGACGGUACCCAAAGAAUAAGCACCGGCUAACUUCGUG